UUAAACGAAGCCAAACAGAGGCUUAUCACUGUUAAUGAUAGAAAUGAGGAGGCCCUCCGUUUAAA
rnacentral:tRNA from 1 species